AGUUCGGAUUGUAGUCUGCAACCCGACUACAUGAAGCCGGAAUCGCUAGUAAUCGCAGAUCAGAAUGCUGCGGUGAAUACGUUCCCGGGUCUUGUACACACCGCCCGUCACACCAUGGGAGCCGGGAAUGCCCGAAGUCGGCAGCCGAACUGUAAGGAAGGAGCCGCCGAAGGCAGGCCCGGUAACUGGGGUGAAGUCGUAACAAGGUAGC
rnacentral:rRNA from 1 species